rnacentral:rRNA from 1 species
UACAGAGGGUGCAAGCGUUAUUCGGAAUCACUGGGCGUAAAGAGCUCGUAGGCGGUUAAUUAAGUCGAAUGUGAAAUCCCUGGGCUCAAUCCAGGAAGUGCAUCCGAUACUGAUUGACUGGAGUGCAGGAGAGGAAAGCGGAAUUCCAGGUGUAGAGGUGAAAUUCGUAGAUAUCUGGAGGAACAACAGAAGCGAAGGCGGCUUUCUGGACUGUCACUGACGCUGAGGAGCGAAAGCGUGGGGAGCAAACAGG